rnacentral:rRNA from 1 species
UACGGAGGGGGGCUAGCGUUGUUCGGAAUUACUGGGCGUAAAGCGCGCGUAGGCGGACCUGCAAGUCCGGUGUGAAAGUCACAGGCUCAACCUGUGAAUGCCGCUGGAAACUGUCUGGCUAGAGUCCGGAAGGGGCGAGUGGAAUUCCUGGUGUAGCGGUGAAAUGCGCAGAUAUCAGGAGGAACACCUAUGGCGAAGGCAGCUCGCUGGGACGGUACUGACGCUGAGGCGCGAAAGCGUGGGGAGCGAACAGG